CCUCCACGAAGGGCCUCUCACUGCCUGUCGGCCUUGAAUCGUUUCCGCCGCCAGCCCUCGUAGCGAUGUCAUUCCGUAGCUUUCGUUGGGUAUCCUGUUGAAAGGUUAAUGUUUAUUAAUAUGCAAGGCCUAUAUAUAUUUAGUCGAUUGAAAUCUUGAUGUUAUACUCAGAUCUUGUGAUCAAGUUGGAAAUACACGACGAGGUUAGGGUUCUGGACUUCAUGGUUCUGGGAUUCACCCUGAAUUGACCAAAUUUCACCGAAAUUCACCCACUUUGUUCAGGACCGAAACAAAACCGAAAUGAUAAAAAAAA